GGGGUUGUGGCUCAGUGGCAGAGCGCUCACCUCGUACGUGUGAGACCUUGGGUUCUAUCCUUAGCACCACA
rnacentral:tRNA from 1 species